CCACAUACUCCAUCUCCAGCUGGUUGAGGUCAUUUAAUUUAGAAGCAGCAGCCAUAACCAAGCUGAAGAAAAUGUCUCUUGUCACAGAACAGCUCAAGGCCAAUGCUGAGUUCUACCAAGGAGAUGAUAUCUGCCAAGAGAAAACAAAGCUCUUGCUCAAGGAAGUAGGCCUGCCCAAUGGGCUCUUGCCCUUACAUGACAUUAUAGAAUGUGGGAUUGUAAGGGAGACAGGAUUUGUGUGGCUCAAGCAGAAGAAGAGCAUAACCCACAAGUUUGAGAAGAUUGGAAAACUUGUGACCUAUGCAACUGAGGUCACAGCUGUGGUGGAGCCCGGCAAGAUCAAGAAGCUAACUGGGGUGAAGACCAAGGAGCUCUUGGUUUGGGUCUCACUAAGUGACAUCUAUUUGGAUGAUCCACCAACUGGCAAGAUCACUUUCCAGACACCUGCUGGGCUUUACAGGUCUUUCCCCUGUUCAGCUUUCGAGGUUGAAGAAACUAAGCAUGACAAGGAAGAAAACAAGGAAGUUAAGGAAGUGAAAGCAGCUGCGUAAGUGAAGGAUGUGUUAGUUUAUUUACCAGUUUCAAUACUAAGUAGUCUUUAUCUGUUGUGGCUUCUAUCCCUAAGUUGUUUACUGGAAAUAAAAUUCGUUUAGAAUUUCAUAAAAUGGUUUCAUUAUUCAAUGAUUUUACAGAAAAAAAAAAAAAAAGAUAAUCUGGAACAAAAACGAACGAGGUAGAGUGGAAAUGGAACUAUUUGUGUUAUUCAAGUUAAAAAUUAAGUCAUUUUGGAAAGGGAGAAGAUUAUGCUUCAGCCAUUCAGGUGAUGAUUUUGCAAAUAUUCAAUCAUUUAAAAGAAAUAUGUUCUCUUUAAACAUGCAUGAAAACAAAAAUAAGAAAGUAAAUUAAUUUAAAAUGUACAGCAAGAUAUAUUUUUUAAAAAAGUACUAGAGAAAGAGAUUAUAUAAUAAUAUUGAUAAGAUUUUGCAGUUUUGAAGAGGAUUCCAACAUAACUGACCUAACAUUACCAUUCCCUUUGAAAUCAUUAACAUGGCCUUAAUGAAGUUUUAAGUGUUAAAAAUUAGCACCUGAUCUGCUUUAACUUCUUCCUUGUGGCCAUGACUGUAAGUAUGCUUAAAAGUGGAUUAGCUCUACUGAUCGGUUGCAGUAAUUCUGAAACAAAAGAGAGUAAGCUUGUGCUAUCUCAACAGAGACCAUAUUCUUGAAUUGGUCUAUCAAUAUAUACCCAUAAUUCCUUUAAUUCUCUUUUUUUCUCCUCUCUUUAGAAUAUCUCCAGAAAUCUCAACAACAAAAGAAUUAAGUUUAAGAAUGACUUGUGCAAAACCCAGAAUUUUUUAAUGGCAUCCCAAAUAUUUUCUCAAAAGAUUUAAGGAUAAGAAUAAUAUCAUUUUCAUCUUGACUUGAGGGUUUCAAAUUUAUUUUGGAGUCGUCAGUUUUUCUAGCAAAGUACUCACAAUUUUUCAAUUUCGGCUCAAAAUUGUGUCUACUUCCUUUUUGAAUGUCAAUGAACUUUCCAUCUUCAAUUGGUGUUCUCAAUUCACCUUCAUUGCCUAGAGAAAUAUUAUAUUAUACUCGGGAAUGUCAAUAAUCUUGAAUUGACGAUUUAUGAUUGGCUCCAGAUUCUCCAUCUUGAUCCACUCUUAUUAACUGGCUCUUCAGUCCUAUAUCCAUCGUCUUUCUUGUGCCCAUUUUCAUCAAAAGCUUUCAAAUUAGUAGGAAGGCUUUGAUCCACGUUUUCAUUUGGGGUUGAGAAUUGCACUUUAGUUCCAAAAUUUGGCUCAUGUAGAGGUGGGAAGAUCGGUAGGCAUUGUCGACCUUUGGGUGUUUCUCCAGUCAUCAUGGCAAUUAUUUUUUUUUCCCUUUAGACGCAUCUUUUGAACGUAAUUUUCUCUUUCUUGGAUGAGAGCCCUUAUCAUUUUCCUAAGUUAAUCAAACUUUUGAUCAACGCUCCUUGGAGAAUCAUCCAUCUUUUUCUUAUUUCAACUAAUCUUGCUGGAAUGUGUUUGUGCCAAAGGAAAAUGGAAGAAACAGCCAAAAUUUAAUUGACAGAAGGGAUAGAAAACAUUAGGAAAAAAAAAAAAUCUGAAUUCAUAAGAAUCCAGAUUAGAGUGUUUGGCAACCAAGAAAUCAGAGGAAAGGAAGAAGAUUUAGAAGAAAAGGGGAGAGUUUCAAAGAGGAGGGGAGGAAGAGAAAAGAAAUUAGAAAGAACGAAGCAGAAUUUCCAUUGGUCACACUUGCUUGAUUCCAAAUGUUAAGCCCCAGCACUCUGAUGGCUUGACUUAGGAGUUUGGGCAGCAAGAAGGAAAGGAAAAAUUAGGGAGAAAGGAGAGAAAGAAGGAAGAAGAAGCAGUAAGAGAGAGGGGGAGAGCGAUUCUUGUAUUAUUUGAUUGAUUUCUCAUCUCUUCUUCUGUAACUGACUUAUACAAUUAAUUUCCUAAUCUAAAGCUUAUUACAAUUCUGCUACAAAUCAAGUACUUCACUAACAGCCCUACAACAAAAAGCAACUAAUUCCCUUCACUGUCACAACCUUAAUAAUGAUGUUUACUUCCCCAUCCAUAUAUCCACCAAGGGAUUGAAAAUUUGUGAAGAUUAAGCCAUGUGCAUAAGCUCCUUAAAUCCGUUAACACAAAACUAUCUCUCUCAAUCAAUUUGGUU
rnacentral:misc_RNA from 1 species